GGGUGGUGGCUCAGUGGUACAGCACUUGCCUAGGAUACACAAGGCCCUGGGUUCAAUCCUAACCACCACA
rnacentral:tRNA from 1 species